UACGAAGGGGGCUAGCGUUGCUCGGAAUCACUGGGCGUAAAGGGUGCGUAGGCGGGUCUUUUAAGUCAGGGGUGAAAUCCCAAGGCUCAACCUUGGAACUGCCUUUGAUACUGGGGAUCUCGAGUCCGGAAGAGGUUGGUGGAACUGCGAGUGUAGAGGUGAAAUUCGUAGAUAUUCGCAAGAACACCAGUGGCGAAGGCGGCCAACUGGUCCGGUACUGACGCUGAGGUGCGAAAGCGUGGG
rnacentral:rRNA from 1 species